rnacentral:tRNA from 1 species
CCUCCUUUCUAAGGAGUAAUUCCGAUCUUGUAUCGGGAUAUGGUCGAACUCAGAUCCUUGUGAUCACGCAUACCCUUUAUUUGGGCUUGUAGCUCAGGUGGUUAGAGCGCAUCCCUGAUAAGGAUGAGGUCCGUGGUUCGAGUCCACGCAGGCCCACUUGAUCUACCGCCAACCAUAGUUAUUAUGGGGCUGUAGCUCAGUUGGGAGAGCGCCUGAUUUGCAUUCAGGAGGUCGCAGGUUCGAUCCCUGUCAGCUCCACCAAAGAUUUAUGGAGGUCGUCCCGAUUCGUCGGGAUCAGCUCCACCAAAUUUUUUUUGUUCUUUGAAAAUUGGGAAUUGAUGUCGAUUCACAAAUGUGAAUCGUCUUCUGCAAUCUGCGGAAGGCGGUAACUUCAUUUUGUGACACUAAAAAUAAAUAGUGAAAUCGUCUCUUGUCUUCGGAUAAGAGAGGAUCAUUCACGUGAUCAAGAGCCUUUGGUAAAGCUACUAAGAGCGUAUGGAGGAUGCCUAGGCACAUGGAGGC